GUUCGGGAAACCGGAGCUAAUACCAGAUAAUAUUUUGAACCGCAUGGUUCAAAAGUGAAAGACGGUCUUGCUGUCACUUAUAGAUGGAUCCGCGCUGCAUUAGCUAGUUGGUAAGGUAACGGCUUACCAAGGCAACGAUGCAUAGCCGACCUGAGAGGGUGAUCGGCCACACUGGAACUGAGACACGGUCCAG
rnacentral:rRNA from 1 species